rnacentral:rRNA from 1 species
UACGAAGGGUGCUAGCGUUGUUCGGAAUCACUGGGCGUAAAGGGUGCGUAGGCCGCACGGUAAGUCAGAGGUGAAAUCCCGGAGCUCAACUUCGGAAUUGCCUCCGAUACUGCCGUGCUUGAGGACUGGAGAGGAGAUUGGAAUUCACAGUGGAGCAGUGAAAUGCGUAGAUAUUGUGAGGAACACUAGUGGCGAAGGCGAACCUCUGGACAGUUCCUGACGCUGAGGCACGAAGGCCAGGGGAGCAAACGGG